rnacentral:lncRNA from 1 species
GCUUCCUUUUGUAUCAGCUAUAUGUUUGCUUUUCUUAUUUAACACAUAAAAAUGAUCUCAAAGGAACAGAUAAUGGUUGCAUACGGUCAAGGAAUAUAUUUUUAAUGUUAUCACAAAAACAUUUGUCAGUAGGAUCCCAAAAUAUUUGCACACUAAUGCAAAUUACAGAAAAUAAAACUUCCUUUUUCUGAAUAUCACACAUGGUAUGUUAAUAAGGCUGUAAUUUUAUCAUAAGAGGUAACUGAGCAUAUUUUCAUAAGUUCAAAAAUGCACUUAGUUGAUUUGUUAGAGAAACAAAUGACAAUAGAUGGCCAAAUGCCCUAUGUGGAAUUGCGUAAAACCAAUCCUGUGCCGGAGCUGGUGUCUCGCGAGAGCAGACCGUGCUUCUCUCUCUCCAGCUCCACCAGUGAUGUCACAUCGGCAGCCUGCACUCAGCCACAGCGGGACUACUUACACCAUGGAAAUCAGCAAAUGCUACAGAUUUUCUUUUACCCAGAAAGCCAGUUAUUAAACAUUUUCCAGACACUACUGCACUCCUUUAUCAUUCUCUUUGUACAUUAGUAUAUUUUUGAAUGAACCAUUUGAAAAUAAGGUACAAACAUCGGGUCCCAUUACUCCUUAAUACCUAAGUGUAUAUUUUCUUAAAAUAAGGAUAUUCUCCUACAUCAAAACCAGGAAGUUAGCAUUUAUCCCAUAUUACUAUCUGAUCCACAGCCAUUUUUCAAAAUGUCUCUUCUUCUCCAAAUAAUGUCUUUUACAGGUCUAGGAUACCAUCCAGGUCACCUAUGACAUUACAUGUCAUGUCCCUUUUGUCCCCUUCAAUCUGAAACAAUUCCUUAAUCUUGCCUUAUCUUCUAUGACCUUGACAUUUUUGAGGAGUAUCAGCCAGUUUGAUGUUUCCUAAUGACGUAUUAAUUUUGCGGGGUAGGAAUACCUCAAAAGUGAUGCUCUUGUAUUCUUUUCACUGCAUGGUGUCAGGAGGCAUGCAGUGUAAACUUAGGCCAAAUGUGGUAAUGUUAACUUUUGUCACUUGGUUAAUGCAGUGUCUGCCAGGCUCCUCCACUGUAAAGUUGAUUAAGUGUUUUGUACUUCUAAAUCAAUAAGUAAGUAAUUAGUAGUGUGUGGGGAGAUAUUUGAGACUUCUGCUGUAGGCUAGAACUUUCUCUUCUCCCUCAUUUAUUCAUUCAUUUAUUUAUGUAU